rnacentral:misc_RNA from 1 species
AACUGAUACUACCUGCGGGAACCUGCGGAGGGAUCAUUACCGAGUUAUACAACUCCCAAACCCACUGUGAACCUUACCUCAGUUGCCUCGGCGGGAACGCCCCGGCCGCCUGCCCCCGCGCCGGCGCCGGACCCAGGCGCCCGCCGCAGGGACCCCAAACUCUCUUGCAUUACGCCCAGCGGGCGGAAUUUCUUCUCUGAGUUGCACAAGCAAAAACAAAUGAAUCAAAACUUUCAGCAA